rnacentral:rRNA from 1 species
GAUGAACGCUGGCGGCGUGCUUAACACAUGCAAGUCGAACGGUGAAGGCGGAGCUUGCUCUGCUGGAUCAGUGGCGAACGGGUGAGUAACACGUGAGCAAUCUGCCCCUGACUCUGGGAUAAGCGCUGGAAACGGCGUCUAAUACUGGAUACGAGCUGCGAAGGCAUCUUCAGCAGCUGGAAAGAACUUCGGUCAGGGAUGAGCUCGCGGCCUAUCAGCUUGUUGGUGAGGUAACGGCUCACCAAGGCGUCGACGGGUAGCCGGCCUGAGAGGGUGACCGGCCACACUGGGACUGAGACACGGCCCAGACUCCUACGGGAGGCAGCAGUGGGGAAUAUUGCACAAUGGGCGAAAGCCUGAUGCAGCAACGCCGCGUGAGGGACGACGGCCUUCGGGUUGUAAACCUCUUUUAGCAGGGAAGAAGCGAAAGUGACGGUACCUGCAGAAAAAACGCCGGCUAACUACGUG